rnacentral:tRNA from 1 species
AGUUUUAAUAGUUUAAAUAUAAAAACAAUGAUUUUGUAAAUCAUAAUUAGGAUAAAAUCCUUUAAAACUU